rnacentral:tRNA from 1 species
AUUGUUUUGGCAGAAAAAUGCAUUAAGUUUAGAAUUUAAAUAAGUAAUUAGUGUUACAGACAAUA